AACGAACGCUGGCGGCGUGGAUAAGACAUGCAAGUCGAGCGAUCAUUACAGGGUAGCAAUAUUCUGUGGUGGGAGCGGCGCAAGGGUGCGUAACACGUGGGCAAUCUGCAAUGAAGCUUGGGAUAAUCCCGCGAAAGCGGGACUAAUACAGGAUGUGACAGCCUGGAGGCAUCUCUGGGUUGUUAAAGCUGGGGACCGCAAGGCCUGGCGCUUCAUGAUGAGCCCGCGGCCUAUCAGCUCGUUGGUGAGGUAAUGGCCUACCAAGGCGUCGACGGGUAGCCGGCCUGAGAGGGUAGACGGCCACAUUGGGACUGAGACACGGCCCAGACUCCUACGGGAGGCAGCAGUGGGGAAUAUUGCACAAUGGGCGCAAGCCUGAUGCAGCGACGCCGCGUGGGGGAUGAAGGCCUUCGGGUUGUAAACUCCUUUCAACCAUGACGAAGCUUUUUGUGACGGUAGUGGUAGAAGAAGCACCGGCUAACUACGUGCCAGCCGCCGCCGUAACAC
rnacentral:rRNA from 1 species